AGUCUAUAACUCUCUUUCAGGCUUUCAUCUCUAAUGUAAUUUGUAUGUUUCUCCUGGGAGAAUUAAAACAAACCCAAAGGAGUCACUAGCUGUUGCAGAAAUGUUGGAGUUCAUAUUGAACUCUCUGACUUUUUGACUGUAGACUUUGUAAGUGUGGUUUGAGACAUUAGUGAGAUCUUUUCUGGAAGUUCAAAGGAAAUGCAUGAAAUGACCGAGGUGUUUUUCUAUGAAGAAGCAUCUCAGCUGAAGUCUUGUAUCUCCAUUGCUGUCUAUGAGAUGUUUUGGGGCUCUGAUCUCUGCUGUUUCUGCUCUCAGGUCUGGAGGUGGUUGGUUCUGGUCUUCAUAUAUCUUCACAUUCUCCUCAACUGGACGAAAAAAGAGGACGAGGAUGAAGUGUGUAUAUAAGCAGGUCUGUGUUUGACCUUUCUUCAUCCUCUCACAGAGAGCCUCUGGCGCUGUACGAAGACGUGCUGACGGAUGUGGAGCUGCGUCCCGCUCUCAGGGUUUGUGGAGAUCUGGACCGGCAGCACUUCCUCCCACCAGGUAUGAAGAGAUAAAACGACACUGAAGCUCCGAGGGCGUCUCUGUCAGGCUGAUGUUUGAGACGGUCACAGGACAUAGUGUGAGUGCUGAUCUGGAGUUAAAGAAUGAAGGAAGUACCAUGAUUUACUACAGCUGGGAGAGACUGACGCAAACACACACACUCACUCAACACUGCUACUUCAACAACACUACAGCAGUGAUUUUGUCCGGCAGCACCAAGCACAUUAUCUUCAAGAGUGCGUCCGCGGACAUCAGGACUGAAGACUGUCGUCUGAACACACAGCCGGUGCUGAUGGGCGGAGCUUCACUGCGGGUCACUCUGAGGGGCGUGGCUUUAGAGCAGGACAAUAGUGCACAGCAGAGAGCCACACUAGAGGUGUGUGUGUGUGUGUGUGUGUGUGUGUGUGUGUGUGUGUGUGUGUGUGUGUGUGUGUGUGUGUGUGUGUGUGUGUGUGGAAGAAGCUGGAGCAGAAAGCGUCCGUGUCAGUGUGUAAACGGAUGGUCAGGGAUCUGCUGAGAGGAGUUCACACUCCAGAACGACCCAGUUCUCCUGCUGAUCUCUACAUCACAGACGAGGAGCUUUUCAACACACUCAACCCUCGUGUAUGUGAUCACAGCAACACACACACA